GGCCUCGUGGUGCAGAGGAAAGCACUUUCGGUUCCGAACCGAAGGGUCGUGGGUUCGAACCCCACCGGGGUCG